rnacentral:rRNA from 1 species
UACGUAGGGGGCAAGCGUUGUCCGGAAUCAUUGGGCGUAAAGAGCGUGUAGGCGGUUCGGUAAGUCGGCUGUGAAAGCCCGGGGCUCAACUCCGGAAUAGCCUUUAAGACUGCAUCGCUUGAAUCCGGGAGAGGUGAGUGGAAUUCCGAGUGUAGAGGUGAAAUUCGUAGAUAUUCGGAAGAACACCAGUGGCGAAGGCGGCUCACUGGACCGGUAUUGACGCUGAGGUGCGAAAGCGUGGGGAGCAAACAGG